rnacentral:rRNA from 1 species
UAAGUAAGGUGUGAAAUCACAGGGCUCAGCCCUGUGGCUGUGCCUUAAACUGGCAAACUUGAGAACAUGAGAGGUCACUGGAAUUCCUAGUGUAGGAGUGAAAUCCGUAGAUAUUAGGAGGAACACCAAUGGCGAAGGCAGGUGACUGGCAUGUUUCUGACACUGAGGCUCGAAAGCGUGGGAGCGAACGGGAUUAGAUACCCCGGUAGUCCACGCCGUAAACGAUGGAUACUA